rnacentral:rRNA from 1 species
GACGAACGCUGGCGGCGUGCUUAACACAUGCAAGUCGAACGGAAAGGCCCUGCUUUUGUGGGGUGCUCGAGUGGCGAACGGGUGAGUAACACGUGAGUAACCUGCCCUUGACUUUGGGAUAACUUCAGGAAACUGGGGCUAAUACCGGAUAGGAGCUCCUGCUGCAUGGUGGGGGUUGGAACGUUUCGGCGGUUGGGGAUGGACUCGCGGCUUAUCAGCUUGUUGGUGGGGUAGUGGCUUACCCAGGCUUUGGCGGGUGGCCGGCCUGAGAGGGUGACCGGCCACAUUGGGACUGAGAUACGGCCCAGACUCCUACGGGAGGCAGCAGUGGGGAAUAUUGCACAAUGGGCGGAAGCCUGAUGCAGCAACGCCGCGUGCGGGAUGACGGCCUUCGGGUUGUAAACCGCUUUCGCCUGUGACGAAGCGUGAGUGACGGUAAUGGGUAAAGAAGCACCGGCUAACUACGUG